rnacentral:tRNA from 1 species
GGGCUCGUAGCUUAGCUUGGAUAGAGCGUCUGAAUGAAUAAUGGCGAUGCUUCGGACCAAGUUUUGAGGAAAGCAACCAGAAGGCCGGGGGUUCGAAUCCCUCCGGGCCCG